UGAGGAGUGUGAGUAGCAGCUGGCAAGAUGGUUCACAAGGCCUUAUCUCUCAUCCUUUUCAUCGCUCUCUUAAUUUCGGUUGAAUUGGCUCCAAUAUUGGAGGCCAGAACAAACAAUAUCCCAACCAACCCAUGGGGAAGACGCCGCGGCGAAGGGUUCAAAGGAAAUAAGAUAAGUGCUCCUUGUCAUUCUUCACCACGCGGCAAAAGUGGUAUAGUUUGUCCGCCACCAGGUCAUUGAGGAGGGCAAUAAAGGGUAACAGAACCAUAGAAUAUAUAGCAUAAGGCCUUCGUGAACGUUGGUAAAUGGAUAAUUUUGUAAGUUUCACAAGCUACAUACCAACGAUUAUUGGCCAAAAUCUGCACUAGCUUACAUAUAUGUUUUAAUGUCAGUCUAGAGCUUCUUUUUUUUUUUUUUUUUUUUUUUUUGUUUGGUGACAUGUCAAUUAGAAGCCUGAGAAUAUAUAUAUGGCCUAUGUUUCCAUCAAUAAGUAAGCUUAUGUGUUAAAGUAAGAA